CCUGCCACCAUGGCCAGCUAAUUUUUGUAUUCUUAGUAGAGACGGGGUUUCACCAUGUUGGCCAAGCUGGUCUCGAACUCCUGACCUCAGGUGAUCCACCUGCCUCAGCCUCCAAAAGUGCUGGGAUUAUAGGUGUGAGCCACCAUGCCCAGCCACUAGGAGUUACAAGUUUUAAAGAACACUCCGGUGUCAUAUGGACCACAAAAAACAAGAGAGAAUGCAGGCCAUCGGGGCACAGGCAAUCUGCUGCUCCAGGAAGAUGCCCCCUGGUGUCCCAGCAAGUGGCUGGUAUCUCCCUCGGGCACAGGUACCCGGAGAAGCACCGUCCAGUGUAUCUUAGGGGCUUGGAUUUCUUCCCCACAUUAUCUCAGAUAAUCCCCCCAAAGACGUGGGGGGGGUCUUUUCUAGUUUUCUCUUGAGAUUGCCCCUCUCAGGAGACAAAUACACCUACUCCAAUGUCCUAAUCUCAGCCCAAAGAGGAUGGAGAUGUGGCCUGGUCAUGUAUAAGAGCCCACACCUCCUAACACUGUACCCAGUGUACAGUGUUCAUCGCACAGACGUUACCCAUCGCACAGACGUUCAAUGGCCCAUGGCGUGUUCCUGGAGCCAGAAAGUACCAAGGCCGGCUGCCUCCCCACAAUUUGAGAGAUGCCAAGGGUGGACGCUCGGCCGCACACACACAAUUAGGCAUUUAUUUUUCCCCAAAUGCCAGAAGGGACAGAAGCUGCAAGGGGUGUUUAGAUCAUGUUUCAGCUGGGAAAACUGAGGCCCACUGAGUGGGUGCCAACAAUAUGCAUUUUAAAUGUGUUUUAGACUUGAAAAAUAAACACAGUAGAACUCCCCUCCUGGCCCCCUCCUCGCCACACCAUUUUAUUUUUAAUUUAAAUUUAAGUUGCAGUACCCCAAAGGACCAGAAAAUCAAUAAAGGCAAAUCUAAAUUGAGGGGCAUUCUUCGAAGCAAGUGGCCUGAAGUUUUUAAAAAGGUCAAUGUCAUUAGGAGUAAAAAAAAAGAAAAAAAUAGAAAGAAAGAAAAGAAAAAAAAAGCCAAGGAACUCUUCUAGAUUAAAGGAAACUAAAGAAACAUGGCAACUAAACUACUGUGUGAUCCUGUAUUAGAUUUGAGAUAAAAAUAAAAGCUAUAAAAAUAUUAUUGGGAUGGCUGGGUGCGGUGGC
rnacentral:lncRNA from 10 species